GGCCUGAUGGUCUAGUAGUAUGAUUCCUUGUUAGGGAGCGUUCCGCGCUAAGUUUCGAGGAGGUCCCGGGUUCAAUUCCCGGUCAGGCCC
rnacentral:tRNA from 1 species